AUGUAUAUGUACUUGCUUCGGCAAAUUGGAACGAUACAGAGAAGAUUAGCAUGGCCCCUGCGCAAGGAUGACACGCAAAAUCGUGAAGCGUUCCACAUUUUU